rnacentral:lncRNA from 1 species
AAUGUGAACUACAUAUGUAUGAUACAUGUGACCAACACAUAUAUUAUCAAUAUAAAAUCUAAUGUAAAUAUUAACUUAAGAAUAACAUGCAUGAAUUAAUCAUGUGGCGUUUGCAUACAUAGAGUAAUGAAAACAAUGUAAUUUAUGACUUACAUGCAUGAGCUGUUCAUGUGACAUACUUGCAUGUCUAGAAAAAAAUAGAUAAUAUAGGUUAUAGCUAUUUAGAAAUAGAAGAUACGUGGCCGGUGAGCCUAAUGAGAGUGUGUUGAUUCUCCGAAUCCAUCUCUCUCUAUCUUCCUUCUAUUAGAUGGUCCAUAGUUUUUUCAACAUAAUACAAACGAAAGUAUUUAUACACACUCGUGCAUACACUCACCUUAUGUAAGGUAUACAUGUAGACCCUAUCUCUACGAAGACUUUAAAAAGACUAAGCAAGCAUAUCAUCUUGAGAUUUUACAAAGACAUCAUAGAUGUCUCGUAGUCGAUAAAAACGUCUCAUCCCACUGAACGCGCAUCAUCGAAAAUCCUGAAAUAAAAUUUAGAAAUAAAUACCAAUAUCAUGAUUAAAACCCUGAUGCGCUAGGGAUAUCAGUGUCCUAACAUCUAACCACAUGUUGGUUUGCAUCGAUGACCCAUGGUGGUGGGUACUCGAGCACCCCUGUUCGGUCAUGCAAUGCUCACACGCUGACCUGGGCGGACGCGCAUACACGUCGCAGGUCUCAGGUCUCACGCAAACCAAGCACACAUAGGAUGACCGGACGCAUGGACGUACUCGACUCACAUGAACCAUAAAGCACAUUAGCGAAUGGACAACGGUCACAUGCUUACACGGGCGCACACGCGUACCCGGCUUGUCCGAAUCAGACGCUAACACGCCGACCCGGGCUAACACUCCUUAAGCCCCGGCUAAGAGAACCAGCGCCCACACACACUGCAUAAUGUGCAGGGCCGGCCCUGAGAGGGGGGGGGGGGCGCCCUGGGCCCCCGAAACCCGGGGGACCCUCCUGGAUAACCACGUAGUGUAAACUGCAGCAUGCAAUAGCCGACUUUUUUUGUCUCAAAAAAAGAAGUAGCCGGCUUGUAAGCCAUCGUUUUGUUUUACUUCGUCUCAAGAAUAGCCCAAGGACUUUCUAUGACCCGCACUUAAUGAAAAAGCGGCGCCAGGCCCAACAAGUAGCUCCUACCAAGCUUGGUAGCUAGACAUGCAUCGUCAUAACACACAAAUCUUACCUACUAAUAAAGCAAAUAUUGCUUCUUUCGUACGUCAUCCAAAUUGUCCUUAAAGUUGACUAAAAUUACCCACCAAUGCCACCUAUAAGUCAUAAAAAAGUUUCAAACAUGAGAAUCUUUGAACUGAGCCGACCCAUGUAGGCACCUCCUAUAUUACGCUCUGGCCAUUGAAAAAAGAUGCAACACACCUGUUUGGGCCGGCCCAUGUGUGGGCUCCUGUUUUUUAAGUUUAGUUUUUUUAUUUUUAUUUUAAGUUCCAUUUUGUUUCAAACAACUUUAAACAACUUUUUACAAUUUUAAGAAACUGAGAAUUUCGAAAUAAAAUAUUCAAAAAUACAUAUAUUUUUUUGAGAAUUCAAAAACUACUCGGGAG